rnacentral:rRNA from 1 species
AUUGAACGCUGGCGGCAUGCCUUACACAUGCAAGUCGAACGGUAACGGGCCUUCGGGUGCCGACGAGUGGCGAACGGGUGAGUAAUAUAUCGGAACGUACCUUUCAGUGGGGGAUAACGUAGCGAAAGUUACGCUAAUACCGCAUAUUCUGUGCGCAGGAAAGCAGGGGACCUUCGGGCCUUGCGCUGAUUGAGCGGCCGAUAUCAGAUUAGCUAGUUGGUGAGGUAAAGGCUCACCAAGGCGACGAUCUGUAGCGGGUCUGAGAGGAUGAUCCGCCACACUGGAACUGAGACACGGUCCAGACUCCUACGGGAGGCAGCAGUGGGGAAUUUUGGACAAUGGGGGCAACCCUGAUCCAGCCAUGCCGCGUGAGUGAAGAAGGCCUUCGGGUUGUAAAGCUCUUUCGGCCGGGAAGAAAUCGUAUGGGCUAAUACCCUGUGCGGAUGGCGGUACCGGCAUAAGAAGCACCGGCUAACUACGUGCCAGCCGCCGCCGUAAUAC